rnacentral:rRNA from 1 species
AACGAACGCUGGCGGCAUGCCUAACACAUGCAAGUCGAACGAGACCUUCGGGUCUAGUGGCGCACGGGUGCGUAACGCGUGGGAACCUGCCCUUAGGUUCGGAAUAACUCCCCGAAAGGGGUGCUAAUACCGGAUAAUGUCUUCGGACCAAAGAUUUAUCGCCUUUGGAUGGGCCCGCGUUGGAUUAGCUAGUUGGUAGGGUAAAAGCCUACUAAGGCGACGAUCCAUAGCUGGUCUGAGAGGAUGGUCAGCCACACUGGGACUGAGACACGGCCCAGACUCCUACGGGAGGCAGCAGUGGGGAAUAUUGGACAGUGGGCGAAAGCCUGAUCCAGCAAUGCCGCGUGAGUGAUGAAGGCCUUAGGGUUGUAAAGCUCUUUUACCCGGGAUGAUAAUGACAGUACCGGGAGAAUAAGCUCCGGCUAACUCCGUG